rnacentral:rRNA from 1 species
AGGAAUAUUGGUCAAUGGGCGCUAGCCUGAACCAGCCAAGUAGCGUGAAGGAUGACUGCCCUAUGGGUUGUAAACUUCUUUUAUAUGGGAAUAAAGUGCAGUAUGUAUACUGCUUUGCAUGUACCUUAUGAAUAAGGAUCGGCUAACUCCGUGCCAGCAGCCGCGGUAAUACGGAGGAUCCGAGCGUUAUCCGGAUUUAUUGGGUUUAAAGGGAGCGUAGGCGGGUUGUUAAGUCAGUUGUGAAAGUUUGCGGCUCAACCGUAAAAUUGCAGUUGAUACUGGCAUCCUUGAGUACAGUAGAGGUAGGCGGAAUUCGUGGUGUAGCGGUGAAAUGCAUAGAUAUCACGCAGAACCCCGAUUGCGAAGGCAGCCUUCCGGCGCCCUACUGACGCUGAGGCACGAAAGUGCGGGGAUCGAACAG